rnacentral:lncRNA from 1 species
CCUUUUUGAUGGAGCCAGGGUCUGGGAAGUCCUCAAGGACUGCCUCAAAGGAAGUGUUAGGUUUAUGUGCAGAACGAGGCAAAAAAAAAUAUAAUAAUCUCAUUUUACUCUCUUUGGAACAGGAAUUGUCCUCUCCCUGCCCAACUCCCCUCCUUCCCCAUGGCUGGGAAGAGAAGAGCAUCCCACUGCCGCCGCCGUGCGCUUCCAGAGCCUGCGGGUGCUGGUCCCUGCGAGUGCGGAGCAUCCUCGGACCUCCAGAUGCCCCAGGAUCUUUUAGGAACUGGUUCCUGCUCCUUACAGGAGAGAGCUUUUAUAAUCCACAGAAUACAAAGGACCCAAACCACCAAGAACUGCUUCCACGUGUGGCUGGGGAAAAAAAAAGCCACCGAGUCGUUCUGCUGGCAGGCUCCAAGGGUGAAAAUCACCCAAAGACUCCGGGGAGCCAGGCUGAAAAAUAACAAUAGUGGUAGUAAGAACAAUAACAAUGAUAAUGAUAAACAAUUUUCUCUAUUUGAAAGGAACCUUGUGUCAGGACUGCAUUUUCCCUGGUCUGUCUAUCUCGCGCAGUUGAGCUGGAGAUAAAUCUGGCCCUGACACCUGACAGCCCCCAGGUCAGCGUGGGACACUGGAAGCUGCCCCGUUGCUCUUUCCCCUUCGCUCUGUGGCUGCUGCUCCCACUGGCAGCACUUUCCCUCCCCAGAAAGCAGAUAUUGCCCAUCAUCUCAGCUCUCCCUGCAUUCCCCAUCCUUGUGUCUCUGUGUCUCUGCGGGGCACAACCCUCCCUCUGCCUGCUGCCCUCCCCCAGGAACAGCCCUUCCUGGGUCAACACCGCUUGACAGCUGGGGUUAAACGGGGUGAAUUUGGUUUGAGAUGUGCUGGAGGAGUGUCCCCCCACAGCCCACAGCCUCCUGGCUUGCUGCAGAAGGGGGGUGUGCAGGGUGAGAGGGAUCAGCUGGGGGAUAAGGGCUCAGAACUGCUGCGUGUGACCAGCCACGGGAGCCCAUGGCCACCACUGGGUGCUGGAAGGGGCGGUGGAGGAGGGAGCCUGAUUUCUCUGCAGGUAUCCAGCCUCCUGCAGCUCAGCCGGGGGGGGCCAUCACUUCCCCUGGGGUCCCCCAUCACCUCCCCUGGGGUCCCCCAUCACCUCCCUGGAUCCUCCACCUCUGAGCUGAACCCCAUCCUCAGCAGCUCUUUGCACAUCCCUGGAUGCAGCUUUGCCCAUCGCUCCCGCAGCCCCAGUGUUACUGAACUAUCCUCCUCCCCUGCUCCCCCCCUGCCGCUGCCUGCGCUGCCCUCUCCCCCUGCCUGCGGCGGCCGCCUCCCCGGCACGUAGGAUGUUGGCUGCCUCUCCCGCUACGGGCAACCUUCAAACGCUCAGAAAUCACCAGUGAAAUCCCCACACACCCCCCACCCC